UACGUAGGGGGCAAGCGUUGUCCGGAUUUAUUGGGCGUAAAGCGCUCGCAGGUGGUUCGUUGCGUCGUGCGUGAAAGACCCCGGCUCAACUGGGGGAUGUCGUGCGAUACGGGCGGACUGGAGGCCAGUAGGGGGGAUGCGGAAUUCCGGGUGUAGUGGUGGAAUGCGUAGAGAUCGGCAGGAACACCCAGGGGGGGAAACCAGCCGACUGGGCAUCUACUGACGCUGAGGUGCGAGAGCGUGGGGGGGAGCGAACCGG
rnacentral:rRNA from 1 species